GAUAAACGCUAGCGGCAGGCUUAACACAUGCAAGUCGAGGGGCAGCAUAGAUUGUAGCAAUACAAUUGGUGGCGACCGGCGCACGGGUGCGUAACGCGUAUGCAACCUACCCGUCACAGGGGGAUAAUCCGGAGAAAUCUGGUCUAAUACCCCAUAACAUAUGGAUCGGCAUCGGUUCAUGUUGAAAUUUUCGGAGGUGACGGAUGGGCAUGCGUAGCAUUAGCUUGUUGGUGAGGUAACGGCUCACCAAGGCGACGAUGCUUAGGGGGACUGAGAGGUUUUCCCCCCACACGGGGACUGAGACACGGACCAGACUCCUACGGGAGGCAGCAGUGAGGAAUAUUGGUCAAUGGGCGCAAGCCUGAGCCAGCCAUGCCGCGUGCAGGAUGACGGCUCUAUGAGUUGUAAACUGCUUUUGUACGAGGGUAAAGUGGGUUACGUGUAACCUUUUGAAAGUAUCGUACGAAUAAGGAUCGGCUAACUCCGUGCCAGCCGCCGCCGUAA
rnacentral:rRNA from 1 species